rnacentral:lncRNA from 1 species
GAAAAGCAAAGUUUAUUAAAUAAGAGCUGAACCAGCUUCAGUUACGUCUGGAUGCAAUUCUGGUAGUUAAUCAUUGCUUUUUUUUCCCGUGAGACAAGUUGAAGUUUUUCAGAAAGCUGGUUCGUUUCCAGUUUGGAUGGAAAGUGCGGCAGAGGGAUCAGGCAAAUAUCUUGUAAGGACAGAUUGCCAAGAAAAUCAUUGACUGACAGGAUCUGGUGAAGCGAAGGGAUGGGGAACGGGAGUAGAAAGGCACAUCUUACGGUUUAAAAUAUGGCAGCUGUUCAGUUUGUUUGGAGCAGGUUUCUGGCUGGAACCCUCUUCCAAGACAUGAUUUCUUAUGACUUUGCCAAUUUUUGGUGUCAGGGUUCAUGCUCAUAUGGAGUCCUAAGUCAUCCAAAUAUUAGGAUAUAAUUUAUUUAUUAACAUUUUUAUAUAGACUGGUUCUGGAGAAAAUUAAAGUAGGUGAGGUUGGAUUUUUGUGUAAUUUCUGUCACUUCACAAUUCUUUCUUUACCUCUACCUUAUGAUCUGGUCUCCACGGAGACCCUCCUUCCUGGGUAGCACGGUCAAGAACUCUGUCUUCCAUGCCUGUCUGUUUCUCCACCUAAUAACAUUCCUAUUCUCUUUCCUGAGGGUAAUUUCUCUGCUGAAUCUAAUCUGAUAAAGUAAUGCCUGCUGAGUUGUUAAGUAAUAAAUAAUUGCUCCUACUUUGCCCAUCUAAGAUUAUAAUUUUGAAUAAUAAGAUCUAUCAAAACUUUAUCUUGUAAGCAUGACUAAUGUUGGAUUUUUUAUAUAAUAGAGCAGCUGGUUAGAGAGAACAUUUUAGAUUAAGCAACUUCCCAAUGGCUCACUCCCCUUUCUGGGCAUAUUUUUCUUUUCUUUUUUUUGUCUUUUUGCCAUUUCUUGGGCCACUCCUGCGGCGGUAUAUGGAGGUUCCCAGGCUAGGGGUUGAGUCGGAGCUGUAGCCACCAGCCUACGCCAGAGCCACAGCAACUCGGGAUCUGAGCAGCAUCUGCAACCUACACCACAGCUCACAGCAACACCGGAUCGUUAACCCACUGAGCAAGGGCAGGGACCGAACCCGCAACCUCAUGGUUCCUAGUUGGAUUCGUUAACCACUGAGCCACGACGGGAACUCCCGGGCAUAUUUUUCCAACAAGACUUUCAAAGUUGGCAUCAGACAUUUAUAAAAAGUGCAUGACUUGGAAUCCCAUCGUGGCACAGUGGAAACGAACCUGACUAGGGACCAUGGGGUUGCGGGUUCAAUCCCUGGCCUCGCUCAGUGGGUUGAGGAUCAGUGUUGCCAUGGGCUGUGAUGUGGGUCACAGACACUGCUUGGAUCCUGCAUUACUGUGGUGUAGGCCAGUGGCUAUAGCUCUGAUUUGACCCCAGCCUAGGACCCUCCAUAUGCCAUGGGUGUGGCCCUAAAAAGCAAAAAAAAAAAAAAAUCCUGAUAAACUAAGUUUUGUGGGUUUUUUUCCAUCUAAUUUUCUUGAAUCUAUGAAAUGCUGCAGUAAAUGAAAAUAAACUGUUGUGACUAAUUUAACCUGCACUGUAUUCUAGUAUUCACUCCCUGGAAAAGUCCAUCUUCCCAGAUGCUUUACAUGUUAGUUGGCAUGUUGUUGGUUGUAAAUAACAAGACCUCCAACACAAACUGGCAUAAAUAAUUGGCUCAUGGAUCCAAAAAAAUCCAGGAAUGUUUUAAGGCAGUCUCCCAGUUUUCUGUGACUCCCUUGGCUGUGCCCUCCUUGGAAUUCUGGCUUUACCCUCAGGCUGGCUCCUACCAUAUUCUCCAAAUAGCUACCAGUCAGUAGCAAUGAGGGCAACAUGUUACUUGAUCCACAUCCAAGGGGAGAGAUACUGUCACUUUCUAUAACUAUUUAAUUAAGUCUUGAGACUUACUUUGAUUGGGCCAACCACUGUGGCCAGGAAGAAACCAAAUGCUGAUCCGGGCUUGGGUGAAAACCUCUAUUGAAUCGAUCUUUGUGUUAAAUGGAGGAAAAUAAUUCAGCUUGGAGCUAGGAUUGGAGUCAGUCCAUUCAAACCUCACUGGGGGAGGGGCAUUUCCAAAGGCGAAUCUGAAUGCAAUUUGCAAAAGUGGAAUAAAUUCUAAGUAUGGAAUCAAAUAUUAUUCACCAAGUUCCUUUAUAUGGAAUGCAGUCUUCCAGCUUUUUGAAAACCACACAGGAAAACAGAGGUGUAGAGUUCAUUGUCUGCCAAACAGGAAAACUGUACGUGACUCGCAUCUAGUACAGCAAAGAAAGUUCUUUCUACUCUAGUGACCAAAUCUUUGCUCCUUUCUUAGAACUGGAUCUACUUACUUAAUGUGAGAGAUUCUAAGUACCACGUGGUUAAAUGGCACUGCCAGCCCUCAGCCCUGUGGGGAAAUUCUGAGAUGCCACAUAGAAUUAAUUUAAGACGAAAAGAUGGUAGCCAGUCAAAGUUUUGAAUUGCUCAUGGUUUGGUGUAAGGUUUAUGUGUCCAUCCUGAGACGGAAGACAGGGCAUGUGUGAAUCUUCUAUUUAUAAAAAGAGAAUUCUGAGGAGAGAACCAAUUCACUGGUUCGAGAGGCAUCUAGGAAUUGAUUUCCUUUAUCCUCAUCUCUCUUCUUGAGUCUAUUGCUACUGUCUUAUAAAAAUCAAUCGUUAGAAAUUUUAAUUUAAUGUCUUUACAAUAGCUUUUUUCUUUAUUACAGUGAAAAGGUAGAAGAAAAUCUAUCUUUAACAUCUUCCUUUCAGACCAUCAUGUUCAAAUAUUUAUGUCAGUCCUGGUGGCAGAAAGCAGCAACAAGUAUUUUUCUGCCUGGUGUUGACAUGUGGGCCUAGAACAGCCAUACUCCAGUCCCCAACUUUAUUGAUGCCAGAGCCCCUACAGCUGAAAAUACCUCUUUACCAGAAGUUCCUUGGUGGCACAGCGGGUUAAGGACCCAGUGUUUCUGCUGUGGUGAGUUCGAUCCCUGACCCCAGACCUUCCAUAUGCCCGGGUGCAACCAAAACUAACUAAAUAAAUAAAAUUCCCUCUCUACCUUCCUUUAGUGCCUAGAAUUCUUAUCUGUAGGAUUGUUCAUUAUUUGCUUUUAUUUUAAUUUUUUAAUUUUUUGCCUUUUCUAGGGCUGCUCCUUCGGCAUAUGGAGGUUUCCAGGCUAGGGGUUGAAUCGGAGCUGUAGCUGUAGGCCUACGUCACAGCCAUAGCAACUCAGGAUCCGAGCCUAGUCUUUGACCUGCACCACAGCUCAUGGCAUUACUGGAUCCUUAACCCACUGAGCGAGGCCAGGAAUCAUACCUGCAACCUCACGGUUCCUAGCCAGAUUCAUUUCUGCUGUGCCACGACGGGGACUCCUUAGAAUUCUUAAUACAGCUUACAUAUUAAAACAUACUGUUCAUUUGCAAAUUUAAUCAUGUGUCAAGCUUAGAAUGUGAAAUGGUUGGUUGGCUCUUUUUUUUUUUUUUUUUUUUUUUAGGGCUGCACUUGAGACAUAUAGAAGUUCCCAGGCUAGGGGUUGAAUCAGAGCUACAGCCAGCAGCCUACAUUGACAACCACAGCAAUGCUGGAUCCAAGCCAUGUCUAUAACCUACACCACAGCUCACAGCAGUGCCGGAUCCUUAACCCACUGAGCAAGGCCAGGGAUCGAACCCACAUCCUCAUGGAUACUAGUUGGGUUCAUUACCACUGAGCCACAAUGGGAACUCCAGCCCUUGCUUUUUUUGGCCCUGCCUGGGAUCAACUGGAAUACUUAUAAGAGUUUUAGAAAUAGAAACUAAGAAAUGGAAGUUAAUAUCUUUCAAGACACCAGAAAUGUAGAUUUAAAGGUGGGAGCGUGGGAGAAAUUAGUCGCCAUGGUUUCUACUCUGUGGAUAGGACAAGCCAAGAUGUAGUCACUAGUGUGGUAUUUGAGUCAAACAAAAUAUUAGCUAAAGAAAUGUUUGAAACUUGCUGUCAGUGAAAGGAAGGGUAUCAGUCUGUGUGUCUACUGCCCCAGGCCUUUCAUCCUGGCCCCAAAUCACACAGGUCAGAAGUGACUUUAACACACUGAGGUGACAAUACCAGUUCUUUGAUUAGCAAAAUAGUCUCCUUGAAGAAGCUUAAAGGUAAAUACAGACACAGUUAAAUACAUCAAAUUAAUACCUUGGUAUUCAGAUAAGAGCCAUAUGUUCAUAUUUAGUAAUAAAUCAUGUAUAGUUUUACUAUAUAUAUAUCAAUUACUUAUUGAUGUUAUGCUGAUUGUUUUCAUAUGUCACCUUGGUUCAGCUAAGGUGCCCAACUGUUUGGUCAGACACCAGUCUAGGUGUGGGUGAAGGUAUAUUUUAGAUGUGAUUAGCAUUUAAAUCGGUAGAUUUUGAGUAAAGCAGAUUACCCUCCAUAAAGUGGAUGGGCCUCAGUUAAAGGCCUUUAAAAGAGAAAGGACUGAGGUCUCGUAAGAGGAAAGGGUCUUCCCAACCCCCCUGCCCACAACCUGCGCCUGCAAGAUUGCCUUUGGACUUGAGGCUGCAAUGUGAACUCUUCCGGAAACUACUGGCCUGUCAGUCUGCUCUGCAGAUUUUGGACUAGCCAGCUUCCUCCCUCUUUCUGUGUACCCCUACACACAAACACACACACAUACACACCAUAGCCUAUUGGUUCUGUUUUUCUAAUACAUAGUUAUAAUACAUGACUCAAAAACUUAGUGGCUUAAAAAGUCACAAAUAUUUAUUAUCUCCCAGUUUCUGUAUAUCAGGAAUCCAGGUACAGUCCUGUUGAACACUUUUGCUUUAGUAUCUUCAAGUCUGCCACCAAGGUGUUAACUGGGCCUGCUGUCUCAUUUGGAGGCUCAACUUGGUGAUGGGGCGGGGGUGGGGGGAUCUGCUUCUAAGUUUAUUCACCUGAUGUUGGCAAGAUUCAGUUUUUUCGUAGUUUGUGGACCUGAGUGCCUAAAUUCCUCAUUGGCUGUUAUGUGAAGGCCUCCCUUGGUUCUCUGCCACGUGGAUCUUCCAUGGGAAACUCACGACAUGGCAGCUGGCAACCCUAGAACAAGCAAUCCAAAGAGGAAGAGAGGUCACCAAAGACAGAGGUCAGUGUCUUCAUAACUUAAUUUUGGAAAUAACAGAGCAUCACUUCUCAUGCAUUCUCUCCACUGGAAGUCCCUCCGUACUAGCCCUCCAAGGGGAGGGUGUUACACAAGAAGGUGAAUCCUAGGAGGAGAGGGCCAUGGGCCAUCCUGGAGGUUGCCUGCCAUAUUUAGCUUGUUGGAGAAUCAGACAGUUGAGCUUCUUUUUCUUUUUUUUAUUCUAAUUUAAAAUUAUAAUUAAAGAAUUGAUUUGGAGAGUUCCCAUUGUGGCUUAGCAGGUUACUAACCUGACUAGUAUCCAUG